rnacentral:misc_RNA from 1 species
UGGUUCUGGCAUCGAUGAAGAACGCAGCGAAAUGCGAUAAGUAGUGUGAAUUGCAGAAUUCAGUGAAUCAUCGAAUCUUUGAACGCACAUUGCGCCCCUUGGGAUUCCAUUGGGCAUGCCUGUUCGAGCGUCAUUUGUACCCUCAAGCACUGCUUGGUGUUGGGCUCGUCCGACUGGACCUGCCUCAAAUGGAUUGGCAGUCGGUCCUCGCCGUAGAGCGCAGCACAUUUGCGACUCUUGGUAAGAAGCGACAUCCACAAGCUCUCCACGUUUGACCUCGGAUCAGGUAGGGAUACCCGCUGA